GACGUAGGGGCGCGAGCGUUGUCCGGAUUUAUUGGGCGUAAAGAGCUCGUAGGCGGCUUUGUCGCGUCAGUGUGAAAACUGGAGGCUCAACCUCCAAGCCUGCAGUGGGUACGGGCAAACUUAGAGUGCGGUAGGGGAGAUUGGAAUUCCUGGUGUAGCGGUGGAAUGACGCAGAUAUCAGGAGGAACACCGAUGGCGAAGGCAGAUCUCUGGGCCGUAACUGACGCUGAGGAGCGAAAGCAUGGGGAGCGAACAGG
rnacentral:rRNA from 1 species